CCAUACUUUUCGAAAUUGCUAGAUGCAUAUGUGACAGUUGAUAGCGACAAAUGUAAAAGUUGGCGGCCACAGUUGUGGAAGUUUGUAGAGUUCUUGUAGAGUUUGGGAGUCAAACUUUGUGGAAAUUGGCUGCCACAUUUAUGUCACUAAUGACGUAAUCAAGAGGCUCAAAACUCUAUAAAUAUAGUAGUAAUUUAACACUUGAAGAUACACAAAAAAUAUAGAGCACAGAGGAUAAUCCACAAGCUAUUUUUUAGUUUGUGAGAAAAAAGUGAGGAAGUAAUAUUAUUGUGAGUUGUAGAAAUAACAGAGUGUUGUUUCUUAUAAAAGAGUAGACGAAUUUUAAUACUAGCAUGUUUUUAUCAAUUUUAUUGUAUUACUUAUUCGGUGCCUUAUUUGAAACACGUCCGUGACAAAAAGUCAAUUCAUCACAAUGCAGUUAAGUAUGCAACAUGCUUAUGCGAGAAACUAGAAAAUCUGAAUUACGAAGAAGUUGACUCUAUUGUUGCCAAUUCUCUGCUUGAUGCAGCGUGUUAUGACAACUAUGAGCUUGUUGAACGUAUACUCAAAAAAUUCCCUCAUUUAACUUUUUAUGAGGAUCAUAAUGGGAAGAAUAUCUUACACAUUGCAAUAAAGAAUCGCUGCAAAAAUGUGUUUAAGUUGGUCUGUCAGAUGAGCCAGAUUCUAAACCAUUUGGUGAUUUAUUUUGACUCCUCGGGCAAUACAAUCUUGGAUUUGGCUGGAAAGUUGGCACCACAAAAUAAGCUAAACCUUGUCUCUGGACCAGCUUUUCAGAUGCAACUAGAACUACAGUGGUUUAAGGAAGUAAAGAAGAUAGUCCCGUCUUCGUUCUGGAGACGCUUAAAUCUUGAGAAGAAAGCUCCAUAUGUGGUUUUUACUGAGGAACAUGAAAAGUUGAAAGUAGAUGGAGAGAAAUGGAUGAAAGACACAUCAAGCUCAUGCACAAUUGCAGCAUCACUGAUUGCUACCAUCGUUAUGCACCUCUCUACUAGUGUUCUUGUCAGUUUUGACAUCUCGUUAUGCAGAAGAAGAUUUCCUUCAUACUUUGCCAAGGAGUCUUAUCAUGGGAUUGCUAACUCUGUUUCUUUCUAUAACAUCAACGAUUAUUAGCUUCAGUGCAACGGGGUAUCUCAUGUUUGGGCAGAAGAAGGCAUGGGUUCUUAUACCAGUUGCGACAAUGGCUUGCCUACCGAUUACUUCGUUUGUGCUUCUGCAAUUUCCCCUCCUUGUUGCUCUCAUUUCCUCUACAUACGGGGCUGGAACUUUUAGAAAUUAAACAAGAGUAACUUCUUGUUUUAGCGACUAUUAAAGUAUUAUUUUUGACUGGUUGUUUUAAUAUUUGGUGUGUUGUUCGAACAUGUUAAGUCAUGUUAUCUUUAACCAUUCAUAACUAUUAUAUUGUUUCUUAAUGAAA